rnacentral:tRNA from 1 species
GGGGCUGUAGCUCAGUUGGGAGAGCGCGUGAAUGGCAUUCACGAGGUCGGGGGUUCGACUCCCCUCAGCUCCA